rnacentral:lncRNA from 13 species
UCCCACACUGCCAGCCCCUCCCCCAGCCUCCCCACCACCACAGAGUGGCAGGAGGGCCCCCAUGGUCCUGAGCCCUUCUCCCCAAGCCACAGAGCAGUCCCAGAGACAGGAGCGGGCUCCCUGGUGCCACACAGCUGAGGGGCUGUGGCCAGGUGAGGCCCCCCACCCUCCAGCCCCUGGUGGAUGCUGUGGUGUGGCCUGGGCUCCGGGAGAGGUUGCCUUCCUUGGGGGUCACAGGCACAGCCCUCAGGCCUGGCUGGUGGGGUCUUUGGGCCUGGGCUGGGAGUUGGGACUCAGGCUUCCAUCUCAGCUCUCCCAGCAGCUAGCUGGGUGCCUCAGUUUCCUUACCUGCAAAGAUGAGAGGGCAGGUGAGCUGGAUGUGCUGGCUCGGCAGCAGUGGACUUUGGGGCAAGUGCCCUCGUGACCCUCCAGGACUUCCUGUGUCCUUGGCUUAGCCCCAGGCAUGCCCCCCUGCCCUCCUCCAGCCACCCCUGAGCAGAGGCUCUGAGAAGGAGCUUGCCUCAGCUGAGGCUAGAGUUUAGGGAGAGGCUUUGAUGGGUCCCACAAGUCUGUGGCUGGAAUGUGAAGCUCUGUCUACACCUUCACCCCACCAUCGUGGCUGUGGCUUCCCAUGUGGCCCAGACCUGGCCUCCUUCUCAUACUUCCAUACUCGUCUCCUGGGAAACCUGGUCUCAGCCGGGGUCAUCAGAGGGGGCUGGCUCCAGCUGAGCUCGGUGACCCAAGCCCCCUGUGGUUGGGUUCAUCCCAGCCCUGGAACCUUCUGGAGGACACACCUGCCUGUGUCCUCCAGUGGACAGGCUGGAGUGGCCAAACCCCUCUCAGGCCUCAGGGCCCAGCGCCCAGAAUCUCUGGCAAAGGAGGAAGGAUGAGGGAGAGGUCGUGCUUGACAAGUUCCCGUAAGAAGCUGGUGCAGACCUGGCCGCAGGCAGAGGCUUGGAGGAAGGACCCAGGAAGGGCUGGCUGCACAGGCGUAAGACACCUGCAGACACCUGCCUGGGAAGGAAAGAGGAAGCCUCAGGUGGACAGAGAAGGUGGGGGCAGAUUCUGCAGGACUGGAGAUGGACCCAGGGAUCUGCUUCUGUCAGGGUCAGGGAAAUGCAGGCUGCCCACAACCUGAGAGAGCCCAGAGGCGGACUCUUCCCUGGUUGAGCCUGCAGAUGAGAACUCAGUCCAGUACUGCCAGCUGCAGCCAGGUGAAGUGGAUUCCUCCCCAGCUGAGCCUGCAGAUGAGAACACAGCCCAGCACUGCAGCUGCAACAAGGUGGGAUCCUGCAUGGAGGACCCAGCUGAGCCAAGGCCAGAAUUCAGACCCACAGAGACUGCGAGUUGUUAGACUUAUGUUCUUUCUUGUCAUCAAAUUGUGGUCCUGUGUUAUGCAGCAAGAGAAACC